CUGGGUGACCAUAGCGGUGGGGAGACACCUGUUCCCAUCCCGAACACAGUAGUUAAGCCCACCAGCGCCGAUGGUACUUCGAGAGUUAUCUCGUGGGAGAGUAGGUCGUUGCCCAGU
rnacentral:rRNA from 1 species